rfam:Chlorobium phaeovibrioides DSM 265, complete genome.
AAAUCAUCCAAUGGUUGGCUGAUCGCUGACAGGUUAUGUGUGCUUUGGUUACCUGUUGAGCGUUUCUUUUUUC